UACGGAGGAUGCAAGCGUUAUCCGGAAUCAUUGGGUUUAAAGGGUCCGUAGGCGGCCAAAUAAGUCAGUGGUGAAAGCCCAUCGCUCAACGAUGGAACGGCCAUUGAUACUGUUUGGCUUGAAUUAUUAGGAAGUAACUAGAAUAUGUAGUGUAGCGGUGAAAUGCUUAGAGAUUACAUGGAAUACCAAUUGCGAAGGCAGGUUACUACUAAUAUAUUGACGCUGAUGGACGAAAGCGUGGGGAGCGAACAGG
rnacentral:rRNA from 1 species